ACAUUGGUGAUUCAGUGGCAGAAUUCUCACCUGACACACCAAGGGGCCUGGAUUCAAUACCCGGCUAAUGCA